GAUAAAUGAACUUCUACUAAGACCGCAAACGUCCUGUUUACAACGCAAAAGUCAACGCGUCCUGCGUA
rnacentral:sRNA from 1 species